GACAUGCAGAGAACUUUUCCAGAGAUGGAUUGGUUGCCUUCGGGAACUCUGACACAGGUGCUGCAUGGCUGUCGUCAGCUCAUGUCGUGAGAUGUUGGGUUAAGUCCCGUAACGAGCGCAACCCUUGUCCUUAGUUACCAGCACGUUAUGGUGGGCACUCUAAGGAGACUGCCGGUGACAAACCGGAGGAAGGUGGGGAUGACGUCAAGUCAUCAUGGCCCUUACGGCCUGGGCUACACACGUGCUACAAUGGUCGGUACAAAGGGUUGCCAAGCCGCGAGGUGGAGCUAAUCCCAUAAAACCGAUCGUAGUCCGGACCGCAGUCUGCAACUCGACUGCGUGAAGUCGGAAUCGCUAGUAAUCGUGAAUCAGAAUGUCACGGUGAAUACGUUCCCGGGCCUU
rnacentral:rRNA from 1 species